rnacentral:lncRNA from 1 species
AUUUACGAAGCAAUCGUGGAAAUGCAGACGGAGCAAGGAAGCUCCGAUGCGCGUUUCGUUUUUUAUGGCUGCUAUAACUCCUUCUUGCACAAUGGACAAAGCUUUUGGACAUUUGGAUUUGUAGAAAUUUUGAGUGAGCUCGCAGUUGGAUUCAAGAAAUGCACCAGCAAAGACAAAGAUAAGUAGGAAUAAGUGGUAAUUGGAAGCCAUGUUACCCUUCUCUAGAGGCUUGUAGAGGAUCACACACACAUUCAUAUAUAGGGGGCAGAUCCGUGACAUCAUUGUUUACACAACUUUUGGCACACGUUUUUUUGAGAUCCACUUUGUAAUGUACUUCCACAAUCCAAACCGUCUAUACUUUAAGUCUUCCCUCAAAGAUUAUGCAUACAAAAAAUCACCCAAAUCUUAAACCAUAUGAAUGUAAGAUUAAGAGUUUAGGAUUUUUUUUUUGUAGAACCGUAAUGGUCUAUUGUAUUCACUAUAAAUAAAUGUCUUAAUGAUUUUGAUUUGUCUAAUUUUUUGCACUGAACAUCUAUAAAUGAUGGUCUAAAAGAUAAACGAUUUGGAUCUUUAAAAUAAAUUACAGAAUGAGCCCCACAAAAACGUGUCUAAAAAAUAUAUAAAACAAUGGUGUAACAUAUAUAUAUUUGUCUGCCUUUAUCAAGCUUGUUCGUUUCUCUUGAGUUGUGACUUGUGUGGUUAUUAGGCUUGAACAUAUAUAUUUAUAUAUAGGAAGCCUUUAUGGGAAGAGAUCCCUAUAUUUUAAAAUAAAAUUGGGACACUUUCUUAACCGUUAGAUUUGACUUUAAUGAAAUUCUAUAGUUGAGAUUCUGUAGCUUGUGAUUUAAUCUCAAUCACAGAAUUUCAUUAAAUCCAGAUCUAACGGUCGAGAGGGUAUGCCUAUUUUUUAAAAAAAAAUAGGGAUUCUUAUCCUUAAAGGGCCUGUCUAUAUAUAUCUUCAUGCCAUAUAUCUUCAUGCCUAAUAACCACACAAUAAGUCACAACUCAAGAGAAACCAACAAGCUUGAUAAAGGCACUUGAGAAACCAACAAAGCUUGAUGUAUCGUCCAACCGCACCGACGCAUCACAACCCUGAGAUUAAACAAAGAAAGUAAGCCAACCCCUUCAGUUAAGAAUGGCUGAACACGAGCACAGUAAGUGAAGGUAUAUAUACUUACAUUUACGAAGCAAUCCUGGAAAUGCAGACGGAGCAAGGAAGCUCCGACGCGCGUCUCGUUUUUUAUGGCUGCUAUAACUCCUUGCACAAUAGACAAUGCUUUUGGACAUUUGGAUUUGUAGAAAUUUUGAGUGAGCUUGCAGUUGGAUUCAAGAAAUGCACCAGCAAAGACAAAGAUAAGUAGGAAUAAGUGGUAAUUGGAAGCCAUGUUACACUUCUUUAUAGGCUAGUAGAAGAUCAUACACACAUUCAUAUAUAGGGGAUGGAUCCGUGACAUCAUCAUUUUUUACACAACUUUUGGCACAUGUUUUUGUGAGAUCCACUUUAUAUUGUAUUUCCACAAUCCGAACCGUCUAUAUUUUAAGUCUUCCCUCAAAGAUUAUGCAUACAAAAAAUCACCCAAAUCUGAAACCAUAUGAUUGGUAGAUUAAGAGUUUAGGAUUUUUUUGUAGAACCUUAUCAGUCUAUUGUAUUUACUACAAAUGAAUGUCUUAAUGAUUUUGAUUUGUUUAAUUUUUUUGCAAUGAACAUCUAUAAAUGAUGAUCUAAAAGAUAAACGAUUUAGAUCUUUAAAAUAAAUUACAGAAUGAGCCUCAUAAAAACGUGUCUAAAAAAUAUAUAAAACAAUGGUGUAAUAUAUAGAUUUGUGUGCCUUUAUCAAGCUUGUUGGUUUCUCUUGACUCUUGAGUUGUGACUUGUGUGGUUAUUAGGCAUGAAGAUAUAUAGGGUUUGUUAUUGUCCACACUUUGUUAGUCCAAUUGAUUCUAAUUUUUCUAUACAAAUCCAAAUUAUUGGACCACCUUUAGGCUUUGUUAUUGUCCCCGUUAGUCCAAUUUAUGUCUUUUAGCUCAAGGAAGGGCCCCUGCAGAUUGUAAUAUCCCUCUUUUGAGAAACCUGUAGUUGCAGAGUCAUAUAGAGGUUCCAUCACGCAUGCAUGCAUCAAGAAAGAGAGGCUUUAUCGCAGCGCUAUGCCAAAGUUCGGCACUACGUACUAGAGAAAUAGUUGUCUUAAUUCAAUCCUUCUCCAACUAGUCUAAAAAAAAUGUGCAGUUUCCCAUAAAAAGCCGGCUAAAGUUCUUUUUAGGACCCAAUAUAUAUCGUAGAAGAUUUGUAGCAUAUUUUGGGAUUGUUACAAUCUUUUGGGCAUCGAUUUUCUAUACAAAUUAACCGGUUAUACAAGUACUAUAUCCCUAUCUUGUAAAACCGACUUGUAGUGUUGAAAGUGUUAAUCUAACAUUCUAAUACGACAUCAGAACAAAAGUCUCUCCCUCAAAGAUAUGCUUAUUACCAACACUUUUACUUUAUGACCUUAUUCCAAUAAUAUUUUGGGAAUGCCCAACCCAAUUUAUGAGUACCUCAUUGACGAGCCCAAAUGAACUCUCCCAUCGCUGUGUCGUUAUUGAAUUUUAACUAAAGCCCAUAUGCCAAGUGGAAAAUUCACAGAUGAAUCUGAUGGCCUGUUCAUUCUGCCAUUUGAGAUAUAUUCUCCUGUUUUUCUUUGUUUGCCAGAAUUUGAAAGGCAAAAGGAGCAGCUUUUUCCCCUUUCUUUUCUCGUUUGUUUUAUCUUUUAUGAUAGUGCAGCUGCACGAUACAAUAUUGCUCGAAGUUGACCAAAUCAUUCAUUCGUGUAUAUAUAUGUUCACUUCAUUAUCUAAUCCUGGGGUCCAUCUAGCUAAAGCUAGUAAAGCUAGCCCAUUAUAUCUUUGCACCAUUUUGGGAUUUUCCUCAGCGAUCGAAUACGAGAUAUAAAGAUUCCAAAUUCAUAUGGGACUGACUGUAUGCUUAGUUGCGUGCGAUUUCUCAAGUCAAAUUGUCUCCAACUGCAUGCAUGCGUGAAUGUUUAUCUAAACCCUAACCCUAAGAGUCUAUCAUUUCGUUUUGACAACUCUCGAUUAAUUGAAUGCUUUAUGUGCUCUUGUUUCACAUAAACUUCUGUUGUUUUUGGUUUGUUCGUACGUUCUUGUAAUUACAUGAAUAUAACGAAAGAUGGAUACAAAAAUGGCUGGACGUGCAGCUAUUGCAGUAUUGACCUUGUCGUUGUUGUUGUUGCGGGUUCGAACAGCGAUGUUGGACCAAUUUCAAUAGGUUGCCCUAUUAUUGCGACGAAUCUGCGCAAUUUGCAAAUGUUCCAUGCAGCGCCCGACUUGGCAAUAGAUCAUCAUUUUCACCCAUAAAACUUGAUAUAUAUACUUCAAAAUAAAAAAUAAAACAGGAUAUUAUCUUGUAUAACUUAUGUGGAGCCCAAAAUAAUCACAAGACAACACGUGAAUCUUUGGAUAAAAAAUGACAAAAAUACCCAUGAGGCAUAUCGGGAUUCCUACGACUGAGCAGCGGGCAAUCAUCCGUCAACAAGUCAAAAAUGCCCAAAAUAAGUAACAAUUCAAAGCCUAUUUCAUCAAUCCUCAUCCAAUCCUCUCCAUAAGGUAACUCCCAAAUCUUCCAUUUUUUAUUUAUAUUGAUUAGCUACCUAUUCUAUUAAUUAGCUAAUUGAUUAAGUAAUUAUUCCAUAACUCCCAAUUAAACACAAAUCAAGAACCUAGCCCACAAAGGGAGCUAGGUGGCCGGUCCUCUCUGACCCAAGGAGGCCGGCCACUCUCCUAUUUAAACCCCAUCGUUCUCCUCAAAGUUUACUUCCAAUUCUCUCGCUAGAAUUCUCUAAAUUCUCUAAACACUUUUCCUUCAAAAUUCUAACUUUGACAUUGGAGGUUAUUCAGCCAAAGCCCCCCCCCCCAAUUCAUCAUGGGCGUGUGAGGCUCUUGGCCUUGACCUAAGGUGUUUUUAUUUUGUAGGUGCAAUUUUGUCCAAGAGUAAGGAGGAAGAAAUUUUCAUCCAUAACUUAUACUAUUUUGUAUAACUUGCUAACUUAGGCUUCGGAGCCUUUCUUUUAUAGAAGGGAGAAUGAGGCAUGAAUGAUUGCACAAUUGGCAAUAGGAGCACGAGCUAGAUGACUGAUGAUUUAUGCAUGAAUAGUGGUUUGUCUGAAUGAUUAAUAUUUUGACUGUUGUAAAGUAAUUAUAGGGAUGACGACACUGUGGAUAAAUAUAGUACCUUGUCGGCUUACUGUUGAACUUGUAAGUGGAACGAUUAUUGGCACAACAACUGCACCGUAGAUGAAUAGUACUUAAUUGGAUUAUUGUUUGAUUUUCUGACCUGGAUGAAUAGUGGUCCCCAAAAUCAAUUUUAAAUUGUGGUUAGUUUACUCAUAAGGGUCUUAACUGUCUUGACAAUCUUCCCAUCUAAACUUCUGCCCUUCUUUUAUUAGUUCAGUUUUAACUGUAGUGGCCAGCUUCUGGGAGGACAAUGUGUCCUACUGUUGGCGUAGUAUUUUUGCAGCUAGGCAUAUUAUCAAAUCAGGGUCCCGUUGGCUGAUUAGUUCUGCAGUAUCGCCAGUAGUGAGGUGAAUCAAACCUCCAUCAGGUUAUUUGAAAAUCCAUGUCGUUGGCGCAUGGUUUGAAGAUAGCAGGAUGGGGGGUGUUGGCAUCAUUAUUUGUGAUGAUAAGGGUUCGUUUGUGGCUGCCAGUGCCAUUCGGUUUCGUUUUGUGUUCUUUCCCCUUCAAGCGGAAGCUUUGGCUGCUUGGGAAGGCUUGUCGUUGGCGAUGGAAAGAGCUUUUAAUGCUUUCCUUUUUUAGUGUGAUCUCUAGGUCGUGAAAGCCCUGCUUGAGAGCUCUGUGAAUAUGUCCAACUUGGGGCAUAUUAUCGAAGACUCUAAGGCUUCUCUUUUCAGGAUUACUGGAGCUUUGGUUGCCCAUAUCCGUCGCCAAGGCAAUGGUACUGCUCACCGCCUUGCCUUCUCUGCUCUCCGUAUGGAUGGAACCUCAUGCUCCUGGUUUGAAGAACCUCCCCCCUCGAUUUUAUUAUUAAUUUACUUGCUGCUGAUUGUCUUGGAGGCGGCCUCUUCUGCCGGCCUUACUUGUAACUGUUUCUUCUUAUCAAUGAAAUUUAUCCUACAGUUGCUUUCAAAAAAAUAAAAAAUCAUUUAAUCACGUGGUGCAAUUUAAUUGGAUGUGUGAGUUCACAUGUAUCACAUCAACACAUUGACAUGUUAUUGUACAUCAUUCAAACAAAAGAACCGCAAUAAACCGAGUUAUUCAAAUUUAAGAAUGAUAUUGAUCAAUUCUGAAUUCAAGUCAAUUUCAGAGACCAUUAAAACAAAAACCUCAAAAAAACAAAUUAUUUCCAAACCGUUCGGCUCGGUUUGGUAUUCGGCUAUGCUCGGUUCUUUUUAAGGAAAACUAAUGAAAAUGACUUGAAAAUUUUAAGUUUUAAUGAUAAGGACAGUACCGGAUGUUUUUCGUUAAAAUUCUCAUUUUUUUUUAUUCAAUAGACCCAAAGACACCAACCUCUACUCAGUUUCUCAAAGAAAAAAACUUGGGCCCAGUUUAAUAAUAGGCCAACCCAACCUAGAUUAGGCCCAAAACACGGAGCUCUCGCUGCUCGUAACUCGGUAAAGAAAAACGACGAACCAUCCAGAUUCGAGAUUCCAGAUUUCACUUCACGCUUCUCUCUCUCUCUCUCUCUCUCUCUCUCUAAAUUAAUUCUCCCGCCACACUCUUUUGCGCUCACAACUCACUCACUCUCAUUCAUAUAUAAAGAAGUAAGCAAAUUAUGAAGUAGCAAAAAAAUAAAGAAAUGGAAGCUGAGCCAUCGAGAAGAAGACUGAGGUCCCGAAACCCUCUCUCGGAUUGCACCAACACCAUUUCCUCCACCACCACCACCGCCGGCUCUUGUCAGUCCUCGUCCGCCUCCACCCCCGCGCUCAAACGCCAGAAUCCCAAGCUCGCCUCCGUCACUAGGAACCUCUUCUCCGCUUUAACCCCUAAACCCUCUGCAGUCCCGCCGCCGAUUCCGUCCACUCCUCCUCGUCCUCCUCCCGUCUCGUCCUCUGCUUCUGGUAAUUUCUCUGCUCCGGAUUUGGGUUUCUUCGUUUUCUUGGUUGGUUUGGGCUGCGGUUUCUGUUUGUUCUGGUUUUGAUUUCAAUUUGGGAAUCUAGGGUUUUCUAUGCGCUUUGGAAAUUUUUUGCUGUAGAUUCCUGGAAACCCUAGAAGAACAACAAUUCGCUUGGAAUCUGUUUGUUUCGAAUGUUAAUUGUAGCCUGAAUCUAUUGGUAUUAGUUGAAUUUGUUGCUCUGUGUUCGCAAUUGAGUGCAUAUUUUGAAUUGAACUUGAUGCUAUUCUUACACUCAGCUGUGCAUUUUCUUUGAGAAUCUAAGUGGUUUGAGACCUUAUUGGUAUAUUCUGGUUUUCGAGUUUAGGUACCAGCGUUCGUGAGGCUCUUGAACCUUGUUCAGUGUAUACUCGAAGACAGACUGCAGUAAAAAGGAAGGGUAAAGGGAAGGAAAAUGCUGGAUCCUGGAGUUGUCCUCCCGCACCAAAGACCCGGAAUGCUAGGUAAGUGUCUAAUUCCCGUGUAGUGCUAUGGAUUGUUAAAGUAAUGGGAGGAAACGACGUCAUUGCUUGGAGUUUUCAAAAGUUAGAUGCCUUGCUGUAAGAGGUUAUUCAUCAAAACAUUGUAGGUUGUUAGUACAAGAAUAUGAUAAGAUAUUCAUUUUGAGAGCAAUACAACACCAACCAAGCCUUUUCCCACUAAGUGGGUCGGCUAUAUGAAUAUCCGUUAUCCCACUUGAGUGAUCUGCUGAGACUACUGUAACGCCGUGCUGUUUCUUGAAUGAGAAUGCUCUAAAUACGCUUUUUCCUUUGUCACGCUUCUAUUUGAUAUUCUAUUUGUAUUGGGUAUUGUUAAAGCUAAUGCUUCUGUGUGUCUUCCUCCCAUUGAAAAUAGGAAACAGACAAAGGAAAGCGGACACAACAGUGCAUCCAAGGAAUCAAUGGCUCCUCACAAAAAGGUUUGUUAACGUUUAUGGUAACCUUCCCGUUGUUUUGUGUAGAAACUGCUAGUUUUUAUCUGACUUGGGGUCUGGUUCCUACAAUAAAUUGAUCAGUUCUGUUGUGCUUUCAUAUCAGUCCAAAACAAAAUUAUUCUAUCACAGUUAGAAUUUCUAUAUAUCCACAACAUGGUUCUGUAUUGACACCCAAAGAGCAUGUCUAUGGCAAGAUUCGUUCUUCACCGUCCACUUAAUACUAUAUGGUCCGUUUAUCGUUUCACUUGUUUAAACAAUCCUCAAACUUAUACUUUGUUCUAGCAGGUUUUAUGUUUGUUGAAACGAGUUCUUGUUAUUUUCCUAUCUGUACAGCCUGUGGUGAAAUAAGUUAAGUUCCAUUUUACAAUAAAGUCUGGGUUUAUAGUUAUUCACUUUUAAUUUGUGUGUGAUAUUUCUACAGAAGCAGCGUGCAGUACCAGCUUCGGAGAAGCAGAGAGCUUACUUUGAAGAGAUUGAGGAGAAGAGAAAAUACUUCGCAGAGAUCGAUGCAUUUGAACUGUCAGAAGAGGAAGUUGAUUCAGUUGAUUAGAGUAAACGGAAGAACUAUAUAGUGCAUCGUAUAGAAAAAGCAAGGGUGCCAAAACCCGUUGCGUUCUCUGUGUAGUCACAAUAGUGUGCAAUCGACUAAUUCUGAUGUAACUACCACCGCUCGCCAAUUUACAUCGAUGUAAGUGCUUGAUGGUUAGAAUACUUUUAUCUCUGUGUACAGUCAACUCGAGAAGUAGAGAUGAAGGUUAAGCAAGUAAAUGAAAGAAAGUAUGAGAAAGUGUAAAAGUUUCCUGAAGUAAUGGAAUAAUCACUCGGGGUCCCUGUUUACCCUCUUUUUGUAGCGUCUCUUAACCUACUAUAUUUUGUAUCGGAUUUAAUUUGAUUUGAUUGUGUAACUGGAAGCAUAGCUGUUAAAUGUGUAGUGACAUAUUUGGGGCAUUAUAGCUCAAGUAGUUUUUGGACUCAGAGUUUGAAAUUCUCUUCCAAUAUCAUUUGUAUAAAAAUAGAUAAGUGGCAAAAUUACAUAAAAUUUAAACAGAUUAACAAGAACCACAAAUUUAAAUGGAAAGUUCAAUUUAGAAUAACAUCGAUAAUAAGUUUAAUUGCCCACAUUAUGGUUUAGUUGCAUUUCUCCUACUUUUUUUUUUGUCCAAACACGAGUACUUUUAUACCAAUGAAAAGAUUUUUGCAAUCUAUUCUCUUUCUAUGAUUUCAUAAAACUUUAGUUCACUUUUCUGCAAUUAGUUCUGAUUUCACCUUGACUUCCAGUAAGAGGAUCGAUGUUUCCCAUUUUGACCAUGGCCACGGCAAAGUGCUUGAAGAAUGUCAAUGUGUUAUUUGCAUAAAUUUGAACCAGUUUAUCAGUAGAAGUUGUUCCGUUGAAGAGCUCCUGGUCUGAAUGAAGAAGUCCCUUUUCUUUCAACAAAUUCUUGUAGUACUUGUUAUCAAAAUGUGUUGGGGUCUGCAGGUCAAGGCUUGCAAGGUUGUUGUCAUUUCCGCUUCUUGGGCAAAUUCCCUGCAAUGACUGGGCAAAGGUGGCGUCGAUGGCGGAGUCGUUGUAGAUGCGUGAGCGGAAUGAUGUGCAUCUUGCAAGGCCAAUUGUGUGAGAACCCGAAAGAGCGACCAAGUCCCUUAUGGAGAGGCCUUGUGCAGAGAAGCUUGAAAUUAAAGCACUUAUAUUGGAAGUUGGUGGAGGAAUGGAGGUGUUGGCAGCACUUCUGCUAGCAGUGGUUGAAUCUCUUCUUCCCAAACCAACUUUCCAUGAAGGACCUCCCAACUGCAAAUCCAAAAGUAUUAAUUUCCAUGUAAAAAUAGAUGCCAAUGGAGAAGAUGAUUUAUGACAACGUUAAUUGAAAUUUGAGAUUUUGGAGGAAGAGAUUAAGUAAAUAUACGCAGAAAUGAACAAGUUAUAAACUUGAGAGACACUAAACAGACAAUAAAGGAUACUAAACCAUAUUAUUUAUAUAUGGUUUCUUGUCUGUAUAGUGACGGUUAGUUCCAUUUUUGAUGAAAUUUUUUGUAGCAAGUUCAUUUUGUACAUAUUUCACAAGAAAUUAAGAUAGGUUACUUACAUAAACUGUUGAGUCACGCGCAGCAAGAGCUAGAAGAUCAGCACAUGAGACUACUCCGGGGCAUGCUUUCUCAAGCUUGGCUUUAAUUUGAUCAACAACUUCAAAUCCUCUAAUGGAGUUGUUGUUAGGAGCUGCUGUUUUCUCACCAACAAAGCUUGAUGUAUCGUCCAACAGCACCGACGCAUCACAACCCUGAGAUUAAACAAAGAAAGUAAGCCAACCCCUUCAGUUGAGAAUGGCUGAACACGAGCACAGUAAGUGAAGGUAUAUAUACUUACAUUUACGAAGCAAUCGUGGAAAUGCAGACGGAGCAAGGAAGCUCCGAUGCGUUUCGUUUUUUAUGGCUGCUAUAACUCCUUCUUGCACAAUGGACAAUGCUUUUGGACAUUUGGAUUUGUAGAAAUUUUGAGUGAGCUUGCAGUUGGAUUCAAGAAAUGCAGCAGCAAAGACAAAGAUAAGUAGGAAUAAGUGGUAAUUGGAAGCCAUGUUACACUUCUCUCUAGGCUAGUAGAAGAUCACACACACAUUCAUAUAUAGGGGACGGAUCCAUGACAUCAUCAUUUUUUACACAACUUUUGGCACACGUUUUUGUGAGAUCCACUUUGUAAUGUAUUUCCACAAUCCAAACCGUCUAUAUUUUAAGUCUUCCUUCAAAGAUUAUGCAUACAAAAAAUCACCCAAAUCUGAAACCGUAUGAUUGGUAGAUUAAGAGCUCGUUUGGAUGUGUUUUUAAAAUGACUGAAAGCAUUUUUGAUGAAAAUGUUUUUGGAACCAAUCUUUAGUAGAAAUGCAAGUAAAUUCUGGAAAAACACUUCCUGGAAGAAGCACAUAUUGGAAUCAAAAAAUAUUUUCUCUAAAAGUGCUUUCAGUCAUUUUAAAAGCAUAUCCAAACGAG